rnacentral:rRNA from 1 species
CCCGAAAGGUCGAAAGGGGAAAUUCAUUCGCGUUUCAGCCGUUGGAGUUGAACGUUCGCGUGACGGACGACGUUCGCGUCGUUUGCGCCUUUCGUUCUACUAACCGACGUUGAACGCGUGCACUUUUCCUCUAGUAGGACGUCGCGAUCCGUUGGGUGUCUGUCUAAGACUCGGGGUGGAGCCCGCGUGGCAUUUUGUCGCGCGGACCCUCGAAGUUCCGACAGACUCGCUCGACGGUAUGCUAAUGGCGCGGGGCCGCUAUUCAGUUAGCGUUCGGCCCGUAACAAGCACGUUCUGCGUUUGACGGCGAUCGGACCUGGUGCCGAUUCUGUCCCGGAACGACUGUUGGUUGCGGUGUUCUCGAACAGACCUCGUUGAAACGCCGAUCAGCGACGCUAUAGCUUUGGGUACUUUCAGGACCC